rnacentral:lncRNA from 1 species
AAAGAAUUUACAUUCCCAUUUUCAUUAAGCUAUAGUUUUGUUGUAUGUUUAAGAAACGUUUUAAUGAAGACUGUUUUUUAUUGAACAUUAAUCACUGUUGCAUUCUGUUGUUGUAGGGUGCUUUGGAUGGUGGUCUGGAUAUUCCUCACAGUGACAAGAGGUUUGCUGGUUUCAAGAAGGAUGAGAAGAACCUGGAUGCUGAGAUCCACCGCAAGUACAUCUAUGGUGGCCAUGUUGCCGACUACAUGAGGGUGAGUUGUGCAUGUUGCUUGUCAGAUUGUAACCCUUUGUUCCUUUGUGUUGAUUGUGGUAUCUAUUUGGAGGUCUUUACUAAUUCUCACCACUAUUAUUUCUUAUUAUUUUUCCAGACUCUGGCUGAGGAGGAGCCAGAGAAGUACCAGGCUCACUUCAGUGAGUACAUCAAGAAGGGAAUUGAGGCUGAUGACAUGGAAGCUCUGUACAAGAAGGUCCAUGCUGCUAUCCGUGGUGAACCUACCAUGGCCAAGAUAACCAAGCAGCCACCAAAGGAGCACAAGAGGUAUAACAAGGCAGCCACCAAUCUAGCGAACUGUUGUCUACAUCUUGAUGCCUUUACCUACCUUAAUUCCAUAAACUGCAUAGCUCUAACAAUUAUUUUUCCUUUAGGUACAACCCCAAGAAGCUGACCUAUGAGCAGAGGAAGGCCAGCCUCGUCGAAAGGCUCAACGCCCUCAACUCCUCGGGUGGUGCUGAUGACGACGAUGAUGAGGAUGACGAGUGAAGUGUAGUCCCAUCGUAGUAGUUCUAUCUUAUGUGGUGAUCUGAACUUGUGCUGUGGCACUUAUUUACCUGUAGUCCUGCAACAGGCAU